ACAGAUGCAGAUAUUCACAGCCAACCA
rnacentral:piRNA from 1 species